rnacentral:rRNA from 1 species
UACGUAGGGUGCAAGCGUUGUCCGGAAUUAUUGGGCGUAAAGAGCUCGUAGGUGGCCUGUCGCGUCGGCUGUGAAAACUCGGGGCUCAACUCCGAGCUUGCAGUCGAUACGGGCAGGCUAGAGUUCGGGCAGGGGAGACUGGAAUUCCUGGUGUAGCGGUGAAAUGCGCAGAUAUCAGGAGGAACACCGAUGGCGAAGGCAGGUCUCUGGGCCACUACUGACGCUGAGAAGCGAAAGCAUGGGGAGCGAACAGG